rnacentral:rRNA from 1 species
CCCUUGAAGACUACGAGGUAGAUAGGCUUAAGGUGUAAGUGCAGCAAUGUACUCAGCUGAUAAGUACUAAUCGGUCGAGGGCUUAACCAA